AACAAAACAAUUCAAAAAUUAUUUCAAUAAAAACUAAAAUUCAUGUCAUUUAUUAAUUCAUAAAAUUAUUAAGAACACAAAAUUAAACAAACAUAAUGACAAAAAAAAACAUAAAUAAUUCAAAAAAAACACAAAAAAAGAAGAAAAAUAGAUGAAAAAUUCUUACCUUAAUGACGUGCUUGAUAUUGGCUCUUAAUUAUAAAAAA
rnacentral:lncRNA from 1 species